rnacentral:lncRNA from 1 species
AUUCUUCACUUUGCCUGCAGAUGGUCCCCCGUGGCAGGAGGACUUUGUCCCUGUUCUUUGACCCGGACGCCGGCUUGAAUCCCCCAUGGGAGGUCUAGAAGGAAACAGCCUGAUUCCGGAGCCGAGGCAGGCGCUGAACCCUGUAGCACUGCACACGCAGCCACCGCCUCGACUAAUGGAUGCGUGGGCAAGGGGCUGCUCCCUGAAUGGCUGCAAUCAGGGAAUCGGAGAAAGGCCAGCUUUAUUUGUGACACGUUGGGCGGGGUGGGCUCUGGGAAGCGCCGUAACCCUUCUCGACUCAGGGCCUCUCGCGUGGCCGCUUAGGAGGGACUUGGCCCCGCAGCCGCCUCUCCCUGUUGCCCAGAGGUUGUCCCAGGCACCCAGAGCCCCUCGAACCUUGCCCUUCGGCCUCCAGCCUCUCACCGCAGGUCAGGGCU